rnacentral:RNase_P_RNA from 1 species
AGUGGGCUGAACGGUCGCGUGGGGCAACCCAUGAGGAAAGUCCGAGCUCCCCAGGGCAGGAUAACGGCUAACGGCCGCCGAGGGUGACCUUAGGGAAAGUGCAACAGAGAGAUACCGCCGGUUUUUGCCGGCAAGGGUGGAAAGGCGAGGUAAGAGCUCACCGGCGUGCGGGAGACCGCACGGCCAUGCAAACCCUAUCCGGAGCAACGUCGACCGAAACGAUACACCGGCCCGGUGUGUUUCAACAGACGGCUGGAGCGACCGGAGCAAUCCGGCGUCGAGAUAGAUGACCGUUUUUAACAGAACUCGGCUUACAGGCCCAGUC